rnacentral:rRNA from 1 species
AUUGAACGCUGGCGGCAUGCUUUACACAUGCAAGUCGAACGGCAGCACGGGCUUCGGCCUGGUGGCGAGUGGCGAACGGGUGAGUAAUACAUCGGAACGUACCCAGAAGUGGGGGAUAACGUAGCGAAAGUUACGCUAAUACCGCAUACGUUCUACGGAAGAAAGUGGGGGACCGCAAGGCCUCAUGCUUUUGGAGCGGCCGAUGUCUGAUUAGCUAGUUGGUGAGGUAAAGGCUCACCAAGGCGACGAUCAGUAGCUGGUCUGAGAGGACGACCAGCCACACUGGAACUGAGACACGGUCCAGACUCCUACGGGAGGCAGCAGUGGGGAAUUUUGGACAAUGGGCGCAAGCCUGAUCCAGCAAUGCCGCGUGAGUGAAGAAGGCCUUCGGGUUGUAAAGCUCUUUUGUCAGGGAAGAAACGGCUGCAGCGAAUAUCUGCGGCUAAUGACGGUACCUGAAGAAUAAGCACCGGCUAACUACGUGCCAGCCGCCGCUGUAACAC